GACUCUCGGCAACGAUAUCUCGGCUCUCGCAUCGAUGAAGAACGUAGCGAAAUGCGAUACUUGGUGUGAAUUGCAGAAUCCCGUGAACCAUCGAGUCUUGAACGCAAGUUGCGCCCGAGGCCUCCUGGUCGAGGGCACGUCUGCCUGGGUGUCA
rnacentral:rRNA from 1 species